UACGUAGGGCGCAAGCGUUGUCCGGAAUUAUUGGGCGUAAAGAGCUCGUAGGCGGUUUGUCGCGUCUGCUGUGAAAACCUAAGGCUCAACCUUGGGCUUGCAGUGGGUACGGGCAGACUAGAGUGCGGUAGGGGGUGACUGGAAUUCCUGGUGUAGCGGUGGAAUGCGUAGAUAUCUGGAAGAACACCGGUGGCGAAGGCGGUGGUCUGGGCCGUUACUGACGCUGAGGAGCGAAAAGCCAGGGGGAG
rnacentral:rRNA from 1 species